UACGAGUGCCCCAAGCGUUAUCCGGAAUUAUUGGGCGUAAAGGGUGUGUAGGUGGUUAUGUUAGUCUUCUGUUAAAGCUCCCGGCUUAACCGGGAACAUGCAGAGGAAACGGCAUGACUAGAGGAUGUGAGAGGUGUAUAGAACUCAUGGUGUAGGGGUGAAAUCCGUUGAUAUCAUGGGGAAUACCAAAAGCGAAGGCAGUACACUGGCGCAUUCCUGACACUGAAACACGAAAGCGUGGGUAGCGAAUGGG
rnacentral:rRNA from 1 species